ACCUCCGCCGUCGGCUGCCGGCCGCGUGCCGCAUGUGAGGAGUCGCUCCAAGAAACGGCUCGUGAGUGUGGGGCUCGGUUCCCUCUCCUCCAGUUCUCCACCACGCGCGGUCCAGUCACCUGCCGCCGCCCCGACUCCACCGGAGCCCCAACUGCUGCCGCCGGAUACAUCUGGUCGGAGUACCAGUAGGUCCGCUGGAAACACCGAGUCCCGGUGCCUCUGGCCAUGGAGCAAGGGAGUCUGGUAAAGGAGCUAUUUUACCAAGGCAACGGGCCUCCGGGGCUCGGAGAGGCCAGGAUCCUCCUUCGAUCUAAGCAAACACAUUCCACCUUCCAGACAAGGUGAUUGUGUUGAUUCUGCUGCCUUUUCCAAGCCAUGGAGUCAUGCCCGAGGGAAGAGGUGGGCAACUUAGGAGAAGCUAGUUGAAGAAAUUUUGGCUCUUGCUCCCUGAAUAACAGAAUCUGUUAUCACUUUUUUUCCAUUAGUCAGCAGAACAGGAACGUGUACCUGUAUUUCUACUGAAACUUAACGACACUGCUCCUCAAAGAAAGACGGUUAUUAUACUACUGCACAACUCUUACAAAUGCAAGGAAUGGUUGUGUCCACUGCUUCAGGCUGUUUAAAGAAUGUUGAUUUGUCAAGCGAGGUGCUGCAGUGGCUGGCAUUGUCGGGCAUGGGAUGACGUCUCUAGGCUCCUGCCUGAGGCAAGCCUCUCCGGCCUCCUCAGAUGCCCUCUAGGAACUGGCACUGCGUAUGAUGGCCUCCUCACCUAGCACCUAGGUUGACCUAGCCACCGCCAUCAAAGCGGGGAGUUGACAACAUAUGUAUGAUUGUUGGACAUGUCAGUCCUGCCAUUGGCAUGUUCAAAACUAUGAAUUGAGUGACUACAAAUAUGCUUUCAUCAAUGAAAUGAGAGGAUGUUCUG